ACAAGCUUUUAUUUUGAAGUUUUCUGGUGAUCAGCCAGUGUUUGAAUGUGAUGUCAUCGCAGCAACCUAAAGACACUACGCUCCGCCCAUUUCCAGCAGGUGGCAAUGAUUAGUGUUUGGUAGAAAUAGCCUGCACCGAGUAGGUGAAAGCAAAUGUACUCGAGGCUUUCUCAAGUGUUGGUGUUGUGUGCGUAUGUUAGAUGAACCAAACCACACCCAGAUGGAAACAACACCAAUGUAAUGUCUGCAACAUUUGUGAAUUGUUGUGAAGAAAAUAAAUGCAUCAAAGACUUAA